rnacentral:rRNA from 1 species
GACGAACGCUGGCGGCGCGCUUAACACAUGCAAGUCGAGCGAAGCGGCGGACGGGUGAGUAACACGUGAGUAACCUGCCUUAGACAUUGGGAUAGCCUCCGGAAACCGGGAUUAAUACCAAAUGGUCUAAGAGGGACUCGCGUCCCAUUAGCUAGUUGGUGAGGUAACGGCCCACCAAGGCGACGAUGGGGAGCCGGGCUGAGAGGGUGAGCGGCCACAUUGGAGCUGGGAAGCGGUCCAAACUCUACGGGAGGCAGCAGUGGGGAAUAUUGCACAAUGGAGGGAGCUCUGAUGGCGAGACGCCGCGGGAACGAAGAAGGCUGUCGAGUCGUAAAGUUCUUUUAUAUGGGAAGCGGUACCAUAAGAAAAAGCCCCGGCUAACUACGUGCCAGCAGCCGCGGUAAUUC